rnacentral:misc_RNA from 1 species
UCGAUUGCUAGGAAUGGAGUCGCUGUCUUGGGUAAACAGAUACCACCACAGAUUCAACAUGCAUAUGAGAUAACACACAAGCAAUGUGCUACAACCAAACAUCGAGGGAUGAAGAUCCAUGAUCUGAUGCAAACCACCACACCUAGAGAUCAAGAGAAGGGUUCAAAUUUGGAACAGUGAGAGAUGGGGACCCAAAAUCUGACGCAAACCACCCCAGUGAGGGACGUAACCUGCUUGCAUGAGUCGUGGAGACG